GGCCCUAUCGUCUAACGGUUAGGACACCGCCUUCUCAAGGCGAUAAUCGGGGUUCGAUUCCCCGUAGGGUCACAA
rnacentral:tRNA from 2 species